rnacentral:rRNA from 1 species
GAUGAACGCUGGCGGCGUGCCUAAUACAUGCAAGUCGAGCGAACGGACGAGAAGCUUGCUUUUCUGAUGUUAGCGGCGGACGGGUGAGUAACACGUGGAUAACCUACCUAUAAGACUGGGAUAACUUCGGGAAACCGGAGCUAAUACCGGAUAAUAUUUUGAACCGCAUGGUUCAAAAGUGAAAGACGGUCUUGCUGUCACCUAUAGAUGGAUCCGCGCUGCAUUAGCUAGUUGGUAAGGUAACGGCUUACCAAGGCAACGAUGCAUAGCCGACCUGAGAGGGUGAUCGGCCACACUGGAACUGAGACACGGUCCAGACUCGUACGGGAGGCAGCAGUAGGGAAUCUUCCGCAAUGGGCGAAAGCCUGACGGAGCAACGCCGCGUGAGUGAUGAAGGUCUUCGGAUCGUAAAACUCUGUUAUUAGGGAAUAACAUAUGUGUAAGUAACUGUGCACAUCUUGACGGUACCUAAUCAGAAAGCCACGGCUAACUACGUG